AGCUACAGGCUUAACACAUGCAAGUCGAGGGGCAGCAUGGUCUUAGCUUGCUAAGGCCGAUGGCGACCGGCGCACGGGUGAGUAACACGUAUCCAACCUGCCGUCUACUCUUGGACAGCCUUCUGAAAGGAAGAUUAAUACAAGAUGGCAUCAUGAGUCCGCAUGUUCACAUGAUUAAAGGUAUUCCGGUAGACGAUGGGGAUGCGUUCCAUUAGAUAGUAGGCGGGGUAACGGCCCACCUAGUCUUCGAUGGAUAGGGGUUCUGAGAGGAAGGUCCCCCACAUUGGAACUGAGACACGGUCCAAACUCCUACGGGAGGCAGCAGUGAGGAAUAUUGGUCAAUGGGCGAGAGCCUGAACCAGCCAAGUAGCGUGAAGGAUGACUGCCCUAUGGGUUGUAAACUUCUUUUAUAAAGGAAUAAAGUCGGGUAUGGAUACCCGUUUGCAUGUACUUUAUGAAUAAGGAUCGGCUAACUCCGUGCCAGCAGCCGCGGUAAUACGGAGGAUCCGAGCGUUAUCCGGAUUUAUUGGGUUUAAAGGGAGCGUAGAUGGAUGUUUAAGUCAGUUGUGAAAGUUUGCGGCUCAACCGUAAAAUUGCAGUUGAUACUGGAUAUCUUGAGUGCAGUUGAGGCAGGCGGAAUUCGUGGUGUAGCGGUGAAGUGCUUAGAUAUCACGAAGAACUCCGAUUGCGAAGGCAGCCUGCUAAGCUGCAACUGACAUUGAGGCUCGAAAGUGUGGGUAUCAAACAGGAUUAGAUACCCUGGUAGUCCACACGGUAAACGAUGAAUACUCGCUGUUUGCGAUAUACUGCAAGCGGCCAAGCGAAAGCGUUAAGUAUUCCACCUGGGGAGUACGCCGGCAACGGUGAAACUCAAAGGAAUUGACGGGGGCCCGCACAAGCGGAGGAACAUGUGGUUUAAUUCGAUGAUACGCGAGGAACCUUACCCGGGCUUAAAUUGCAGAUGAAUUACGGUGAAAGCCGUAAGCCGCAAGGCAUCUGUGAAGGUGCUGCAUGGUUGUCGUCAGCUCGUGCCGUGAGGUGUCGGCUUAAGUGCCAUAACGAGCGCAACCCUUGUUGUCAGUUACUAACAGGUUCCGCUGAGGACUCUGACAAGACUGCCAUCGUAAGAUGUGAGGAAGGUGGGGAUGACGUCAAAUCAGCACGGCCCUUACGUCCGGGGCUACACACGUGUUACAAUGGGGGGUACAGAGGGCCGCUACCACGCGAGUGGAUGCCAAUCCCCAAAACCUCUCUCAGUUCGGACUGGAGUCUGCAACCCGACUCCACGAAGCUGGAUUCGCUAGUAAUCGCGCAUCAGCCACGGCGCGGUGAAUACGCUCCCGGGCCUUGUACACACCGCCCGUCAAGCCAUGGGAGCCGGGGGUACCUGAAGUGCGUAACCGCGAGGAGCGCCCUAGGGUAAAACUGGUGACUGG
rnacentral:rRNA from 1 species